rnacentral:rRNA from 1 species
GGAAAGGCGCGCGAUACAGGGUGACAGCCCCGUACACAAAAAUGCACAUGCUGUGAGCUCGAUGAGUAGGGCGGGACACGUGGUAUCCUGUCUGAAUAUGGGGGGACCAUCCUCCAAGGCUAAAUACUCCUGACUGACCGAUAGUGAACCAGUACCGUGAGGGAAAGGCGAAAAGAACCCCGGCGAGGGGAGUGAAAAAGAACCUGAAACCGUGUACGUACAAGCAGUGGGAGCACGCUUAGGCGUGUGACUGCGUACCUUUUGUAUAAUGGGUCAGCGACUUAUAUUCUGUAGCAAGGUUAACCGAAUAGGGGAGCCGAAGGGAAACCGAGUCUUAACUGGGCGUUAAGUUGCAGGGUAUAGACCCGAAACCCGGUGAUCUAGCCAUGGGCAGGUUGAAGGUUGGGUAACACUAACUGGAGGACCGAACCGACUAAUGUUGAAAAAUUAGCGGAUGACUUGUGGCUGGGGGUGAAAGGCCAAUCAAACCGGGAGAUAGCUGGUUCUCCCCGAAAGCUAUUUAGGUAGCGCCUCGUGAAUUCAUCUCCGGGGGUAGAGCACUGUUUCGGCAAGGGGGUCAUCCCGACUUACCAACCCGAUGCAAACUGCGAAUACCGGAGAAUGUUAUCACGGGAGACACACGGCGGGUGCUAACGUCCGUCGUGAAGAGGGAAACAACCCAGACCGCCAGCUAAGGUCCCAAAGUCAUGGUUAAGUGGGAAACGAUGUGGGAAGGCCCAGACAGCCAGGAUGUUGGCUUAGAAGCAGCCAUCAUUUAAAGAAAGCGUAAUAGCUCACUGGUCGAGUCGGCCUGCGCGGAAGAUGUAACGGGGCUAAACCAUGCACCGAAGCUGCGGCAGCGACGCUGAUGCGUUGUUGGGUAGGGGAGCGUUCUGUAAGCCUGCGAAGGUGUGCUGUGAGGCAUGCUGGAGGUAUCAGAAGUGCGAAUGCUGACAUAAGUAACGAUAAAGCGGGUGAAAAGCCCGCUCGCCGGAAGACCAAGGGUUCCUGUCCAACGUUAAUCGGGGCAGGGUGAGUCGACCCCUAAGGCGAGGCCGAAAGGCGUAGUCGAUGGGAAACAGGUUAAUAUUCCUGUACUUGGUGUUACUGCGAAGGGGGGACGGAGAAGGCUAUGUUGGCCGGGCGACGGUUGUCCCGGUUUAAGCGUGUA